rnacentral:rRNA from 1 species
GAUGAACGCUGGCGGCGUGCCUAAUACAUGCAAGUCGAGCGAACGGACGAGAAGCUUGCUUCUCUGAUGUUAGCGGCGGACGGGUGAGUAACACGUGGAUAACCUACCUAUAAGACUGGGAUAACUUCGGGAAACCGGAGCUAAUACCGGAUAAUAUUUUGAACCGCAUGGUUCAAAAGUGAAAGACGGUCUUGCUGUCACUUAUAGAUGGAUCCGCGCUGCAUUAGCUAGUUGGUAAGGUAACGGCUUACCAAGGCAACGAUGCAUAGCCGACCUGAGAGGGUGAUAGCGCACACUGGAACUGAGACACGGUCCAGACUCCUACGGGAGGCAGCAGUAGGGAAUCUUACGCAAUGGGCGAAAGCCUGACGGAGCAACGCCGCGUGAGUGAUGAAGGUCUUCGGAUCGUAAAACUCUGUUAUUAGGGAAGAACAUAUGUGUAAGUAACUGUGCACAUCUUGACGGUACCUAAUCAGAAAGCCACGGCUAACUACGUG